AAUUUAACUUCUAUUGCUACAGAUCUCUGGGAGAUACUUGGCACUACUUUUUAGGUAGCACUGAAAGAAAUAGCUCUCUCUUGGACGUUAUUCCUUUGGAGAAGGAAAGAAAGUGAUGGCAGAAUAGUAGUAGAUCCAAAGUCAGAUACCAGUCCUCUUCUGUCUGUUGAAAUUGAUGGCAAGUAUUGGGACACUCAAUUUACUGAAAAAGGGAUGAGUUGACAUACUGCAGCUGAGACAGAGCAAGAUAUGUAAAUGUGGGACAAGUGAGGUUUGAGGUUAUAUCACUACAAACCAGUGGUUGGCUGAAGGUUAUGAAGCACCACUGAAGAAGCUUUGGGUGUGAGGGUAG